AUGAGAUAUUAAGAGUUUGAUCCUGGCUCAGAUUGAAUGCUAUUGGUUAAUUUUACACAUGCAAGUUACAUUAUUUAUAAGUAGCGUACGGGUGAGUAAUAUAUAAAAAUUAUUUAAAAAUUAUUUUAAGGGUUUUAUAUAAGAUUAAGUAAUAAUUUAAGUAAUAAUUUAAGUUAGCUUAUAAUCUUUAGUUGUUCUUUGAGGAUGAUCAACCACAUUGGAAUUGAAAACGGUCCAAACUACAUUUAGGCAGCAGUGAAGAAUAUUAGGCAAUGAGCUAAAGCUUGACCUAGUUAAACCAAUUAUGUGAAGAAGAUUUUUUAUCGUAAAACAUUAAUUGAUAAAAAAAUAAUGAUUUUUAUUAAUUUAACUCUGGCUAAUUUCGUGCCAGCAGCCGCGGUAAAACGGGAAGAGUUAGUGUUAUUCAGAAUUAUUGGGCAUAAAGGAUUACAAGGUUGUAAAUUAAUGAAAAAAUUUUAUAUUAAAAAAUAAAAGUUUAUUUUUAUUACAUAUUAUCAUAUUAAUUUACUAGAGUUUAUUAAUAAAAGAUUUUUAGAAUUUUAAGUGUAACAGUAAAAUGUGUUGAUAUUUAAAAGAAUUUCAAUAGUAAAUUCAAAAAUCUAAAUUAAAACUGACACUUUUUAAUUAAAGUAUAGGUAGCGAAAGGGAUUAGAUACCCCUGUAGUCUAUACCCUGAACUAUGAAUGUUUUUAUAAAUUAAGUUAUAAAUUAAGUUAAUACAAUAAACAUUUCGCCUGGGAACUAUGAUCGCAAGAUUAAAACUCAAAGGAAUUGACGGGAAUUUAAACAAGCAGUGGAACAUGUGGUUUAAAUCGAUAGUACGCGCGAAACCUUACCAAUUUUUGAAUUUAAACAAGUGUUGCAUGGCUGCCGUCAGUCCGUGCUUUGAAGUGUUUGGUUUAUUCCAGUAAACGGACGAAACUUUUGUACAUUAUAAGAUUUAUUUUUUUAUGUAUAUAAUUAAGGAUAUCUUCUUAGAAAAAAAUGACGUCAAGUCCUCAUGACCUUUAUAAAUUGGGCUACUUUCAUGUGUUACAUUUAUUUUUACAAAAAUUAAUUAAAAAGAAAUUUUUAAUAAUAUUAAAAAAAAUUAUUGGAUUAUUUUCUGAAACUUGAAAAUAUAAAACUGGAAUUGCUAGUAAUCGUUUAUUAGAAUGUAACGGUGAAUUUGUUCUUAAAUUUUGUACACACUGCCCGUCACGCUAUGGAAAUCUAAUUUACUUGAAGAAUAAUAAUAUAUAUUUAAAAGUAAGUAGAAAACUAGAGUGAAGUCGUAACAAGGUAGCCGUAGGGGAACCUGUGGCUGGAUUAAAA
rnacentral:rRNA from 1 species